UACGAAGGGGGCUAGCGUUGCUCGGAAUCACUGGGCGUAAAGGGUGCGUAGGCGGGUCUUUAAGCCAGGGGUGAAAUCCUGGAGCUCAACUCCAGAACUGCCUUUGAUACUGAGGAUCUUGAGUUCGGGAGAGGUGAGUGGAACUGCGAGUGUAGAGGUGAAAUUCGUAGAUAUUCGCAAGAACACCAGUGGCGAAGGCGGCUCACUGGCCCGAUACUGACGCUGAGGCACGAAAGCGUGGGGGGCAAACAGG
rnacentral:rRNA from 1 species